GACGAACGCUGGCGGCGUGCUUAACACAUGCAAGUCGAACGGAAAGGCCCUGCGUUUGUGGGGUGCUCGAGUGGCGAACGGGUGAGUAACACGUGAGUAACCUGCCCUUGACUUUGGGAUAACUUCAGGAAACUGGGGCUAAUACCGGAUAGGAGCUCCUGCUGCAUGGUGGGGGUUGGAAAGUUUCGGCGGUUGGGGCUGGUCUCGCGGCUUAUCAGCUUGUUGGUGAGGUAGUGGCUUACCAAGGCUUUGACGGGUAGCCGGCCUGAGAGGGUGACCGGCGACAUUGCGCCUGCGAUACGGCCCAGUCUCCUACGGGAGGCAGCGGUGGAGAGCAUUGCGCAAUGGGCGGACGCCUGAUGCAGCGACGCCGCGUGCGGAAUGCCGGCCUUCGGGUUGUAAACCGCUUUCGCCUGUGCCGAGGCCUGAGUGACGGUAAUUGGUAAAGAAGCCCCGGCUAACUACGUG
rnacentral:rRNA from 1 species